CCUACGGGGAGCUGCAGUGGGGAAUAUUGCACAAUGGGGGAAACCCUGAUGCAGCGACGCCGCGUGUGUGAAGAAGUAUCUCGGUACGUAAAGCUCUAUCAGCAGGGAAGAAAAUGUCGGUACCUGACUAAGAAGCCCCGGCUAACUCCGUGCCAGCAGCCUCGGUAAUACGUAGGGGGCAAGCGUUAUCCGGAUUUACUGGGUGUAAAGGGAGCGUAGACGGCAGCGCAAGUCUGGGGUGAAAUCCCGGGGCUUAACCCCGGAACUGCUUUGGAAACUGUGCGGCUGGAGUGCAGGAGGGGUGAGCGGAAUUCCUAGUGUAGCGGUGAAAUGCGUAGAUAUUAGGAGGAACACCGGUGGCGAAGGCGGCUUACUGGACUGUAACUGACGUUGAGGCUCGAAAGCGUGGGGAGCAAACAGGAUUAGAUACCCCUGUAGUC
rnacentral:rRNA from 1 species